rnacentral:rRNA from 1 species
GACGAACGCUGGCGGCGUGCUUAACACAUGCAAGUCGAACGGAAAGGCCCUGCUUUUGUGGGGUGCUCGAGUGGCGAACGGGUGAGUAACACGUGAGUAACCUGCCCUUGACUUUGGGAUAACUUCAGGAAACUGGGGCUAAUACCGGAUAGGAGCUCCUGCUGCAUGGUGGGGGUUGGAAAGUUUCGGCGGUUGGGGAUGGACUCGCGGCUUAUCAGCUUGUUGGUGGGGUAGUGGCUUACCAAGGCUUUGACGGGUAGCCGGCCUGAGAGGGUGACCGGCCACAUUGGGACUGAGAUACGGCCCAGACUCCUACGGGCGGCAGCAGUGGGGAAUAUUGCACAAUGGGCGGAAGCCUGAUGCAGCAGCGCCGCGUGCGGGAUGACGGCCUUCGGGUUGUAAACCGCUUUCGCCUGUGACGAAGCGUGAGUGACGGUAAUGGGUAAAGAAGCACCGGCUAACUACGUG